AAAAUUAAUGAAUUGUCGGGGGGCGCGCGGACGCGCGGAGGGUUACUUUUUUUCCCUUCUCUGACCGUCCGCCGUCUUACCCGUGUAUUCAAACCAACCCGCUCUUGUAUUUGUAUCAACCAAAAAAUAAAUUAAAAAAAUAACAAUGUAGAAAA
rnacentral:misc_RNA from 1 species